CUACACUUGUGUCCAGAGAGAGAGAGAGAGAGAGAGAGAGAGAUGGAAAAGAGUAGCUUAGAAAUUGUAAAGGAAAAAUAUUGUGAUUAUUCUGCCUAUUUAUUUAAACCGUCUCUGGUGGGUCUGAUGAUGAUGAUGAUGAUGAUGGUGAUGAUGAUGAUGAUGAUGGUGAUGAAUACAGUAAAAGGAGAACACGAAACUGACCAGAACGAAGAUGUAAUAAUGAAAUACGUGAUAAAAGAAGGAGAUAGGAUGAAAAAUAAUAAAAGAGACAUAGAGAACACGAUAGAAGAGGUGAAGAAACA